GGUUUUAUAGUAGAAAUAAAAUAUUGUAUUGCAAAUACAAAGAUGUAUAGAGAUAUACUAAAACUU
rnacentral:tRNA from 1 species